GAAGCCACUCUUGGAGAGAGGAUAAGACAGGACCCUUAUCCUUUUGUAAAAGUAAAAACAUAAUUAUGAAAGGGAUAGGACAGGACCCUAUUCUACUGUUCUUAAAGAAAAAGCAAAUAACAUGAUUACAAAACAAAAAUAAAAGUAAGCUUUUAGAAAAGUAGAUACUUUGCUUUUUGUAAAAGCAAAAGCAAUUAUUACAAGCAAGCAGCAAUCACGAGACUCAUAGAUAGGAUCAUCAUUGGCUAUGAGAGGGGGACCGUUUGUCAACAUUGCUAUCUACUUCUGCGAAAGGUUCUUUCCACCAAGGUAG
rnacentral:lncRNA from 1 species